rnacentral:lncRNA from 1 species
CGCGCAUCACCGUCGCGCAGCGUCGUGCACUCUUCCAUCCUUCAUUCUCGAGCUUUCUUGUUCUUUCGCACCGCGUUUCACAGGUCGUUAGAUACCACGGAUCUCUUGAGAAAAUUACAGAAACCCACGUGGCAAGAAAAGUGGAUAUUUGGAAAAGGUUGAGCAGCUGACAGUCAACUGUGUAUUCGAAAUAUACAACAUACGUUUUAGAAAAUGACACGUAAAAGAAAAAGUAACGACUGCUAUUCAGAUAGACAUAAACGUCGACUCGUUGAACAACAAACUGAAUUAAGUAUUAUUAGAAUGAAGCACGUUAAGCACGUAUAGUACGAAAUGUAAAGUCGUGAACCAAACGCUUUUUUUAAAAUAUACAUGAGAAUAAGUAUAGU